ACGGGGGGGGUAAGCGUUGUUCGGAAUUACUGGGCGUAAAGGGUGCGUAGGCGGCCCUGUAAGUCAGUGGUGAAAUAUCUCAGCUUAACUGAGAGGGUGCCAUUGAUACUGCGGGGCUUGAGUACAGAUGAGGUAGGCGGAAUUGACGGUGUAGCGGUGAAAUGCAUAGAUAUCGUCAAGAACACCGAUAGCGAAGGCAGCUUACCAAGCUGUAACUGACGCUGAGGCACGAAAGUGUGGGGAUCAAACAGGA
rnacentral:rRNA from 1 species